rnacentral:rRNA from 1 species
CCGGCACGGGAGGUAGUGACGAAAAAUAACGAUACGGGACUCAUCCGAGGCCCCGUAAUCGGAAUGAGCACACUCUAAAAGACUUUAACGAGUAUCCAUUGGAGGGCAAGUCUGGUGCCAGCAGCCGCGGUAAUUCCAGCNUCCAAUAGCGUAUAUUAAAGUUGUUGCGGUUAAAAAGCUCGUAGCUGGACCUGUGUCCCACGCNGUCGGUUCACCUUCCCGGUGUCUAACUGGCAUGCAUGUGCGGACGUCCUGCCGGUGGAUGCAGCCGAUCGUGGGCCCUCGGGCGCGCGACGGCGGUCCUGUACAAUCCUACCGCGGUGCUCUUCACCGAGUGUCGAGGUGGGCCGGCACGUUUACUUUGAACAAAUUAGAGUGCUCAAAGCAGGCAAAGGUGCGCCUGAAUACUGUGUGCAUGGAAUAAUGGAAUAGGACCUCGGUGCUAUUUUGUUGGUUUUCGGAACUGAGGUAAUGAUUAAUAGGGACAGAUGGGGGCAUUCGUAUUGCGACGUUAGAGGUGAAAUUCUUGGAUCGUCGCAAGACGGACUAAAGCGAAAGCAUUUGCCAAAGAUGUUUUCAUUAGUCAAGAACGAAAGUUAGAGGUUCGAAGGCGAUCAGAUACCGCCCUAGUUCUAACCAUAAACGAUGCCAGCCAGCGAUCCGCCGAAGUUCCUCCGUGACUCGGCGGGCAGCUUCCGGGAAACCAAAGCUUUUGGGUUCC